rnacentral:rRNA from 1 species
GACGAACGCUGGCGGCGUGCUUAACACAUGCAAGUCGAACGAGAUCCAAUGUGUAGCAAUACACCGGAAGAUCUAGUGGCGAACGGGUGAGGAACACGUGAGAAACGUACCCCAGACUUUGGGAUAACAGUCCGAAAGGACUGCUAAUACCAAAUAACGUCGGAAGUCCGCAUGGACAUCUGACGAAAGGGAUUCCGGUUUGGGAGCGUCUCGCGGACCUAUCAGCUCGUUGGAGGGGUAACGGCCCAACAAGGCAACGACGGGUAGCUGGUCUGAGAGGAUGGUCAGCCACACUGGGACUGAGACACGGCCCAGAAUCCUACGGGAGGCAGCAGUGGGGAAUCUUGCGCAAUGGGCGAAAGCCUGACGCAGCAACGCCGCGUGAGGGAAGAAGGCUUUCGGGCUGUAAACCGCUUUCAGUAGGAACGAAACUGACGGUACCUACAGAAGAAGGAGCGGCCAACUAUGUG